GCUCCGGUAGCUCAACGGAUAGAGCAAUUCCGUCCUAAGGAAGAGGUUGUAGGUUCAAUUCCUACCCGGGGCACCA
rnacentral:tRNA from 1 species